GAUGAACGCUAGCGGCAGGCCUAACACAUGCAAGUCGAGGGGUAGCAGGAUUAAGCUUGCUUAAUUGCUGACGACCGGCGCACGGGUGCGUAACGCGUAUGCAACCUACCUUAUACUGGGGUAUAGCCCGGAGAAAUUCGGAUUAAUCCCCCAUAGUACUAAUGAAUCGCAUGGUUUAUUAGUUAAAGCAUUGCGGUAUAAGAUGGGCAUGCGUCCUAUUAGCUAGAUGGUGAGGUAACGGCUCACCAUGGCUACGAUAGGUAGGGGGCCUGGGAGGGUGGUCCCCCACACUGGUACUGAGACACGGACCAGACUCCUACGGGAGGCAGCGGGGAGGAAUAUUGGUCAAUGGGCGCAAGCCUGAACCAGCCAUGCCGCGUGCAGGAAGAAUGCCCUAUGGGUUGUAAACUGCUUUUAUUUGGGAAUAAACCUCUUUACGUGUAGAGAGCUGAAGGUACCAAAUGAAUAAGCACCGGCUAACUCCGUGCCAGCAGCCGCCGUAA
rnacentral:rRNA from 1 species